GGGAAUGCCUCACCGAGGCUGCCGCCCCCAUGCUGACGAAUGUGUGGGGUGAAUUCCAGGGGAAGGAGGCCAGCGAGCAGCGCAUCAGGGAGCUGUGUGGGGGGAUGAUCAGCGAACAAAUUGCACAGUUAGCCGCGCACCUAAGGAAGCCUUUGGCACCCGGGUCCAUUGGCCGGCCCGGUCCAGCUGGCCCCCCUGGGCCCCCAGGACCCCCAGGCUCCAUUGGUCACCCUGGCGCUCGAGGACCCCCCGGAUACCGCGGUCCCACUGGGGAGCUGGGAGACCCCGGGCCCAGAGGAAACCAGGGUGACAGAGGAGACAAAGGCACGGCAGGAGCAGGGCUGGACGGGCCUGAAGGAGACCAGGGGCCCCAAGGACCCCAAGGCGUGCCCGGCACCAGCAAGGACGGCCAGGACGGUGCUCCCGGCGAGCCUGGGCCUCCCGGAGAUCCUGGGCUUCCAGGUGCCAUUGGGGCCCAGGGGACACCGGGGAUCUGCGACACCUCAGCCUGCCAAGGAGCCGUGUUAGGAGGGGUCGGGGAAAAAUCAGGCUCUAGAAGCUCAUAAAAUUCAACGUGAGGAAGCAAGUGACAAGGACGCCUGAAGCACGGUGGACGGUCAUGAAGGAGCGGGGGUGUGGCAGGCGGGUGACGUCCAGGAGAGGGAGCGCCCCUGGCUGCCCCUCGGCCGCCGACUGGACGCGCGGGCCCUGCCAGCGAGCACCCUCAUCGGGCUGUCGCCUGACAGCAUACCUCAAAAGGCCCUAGCUAAUAAACCUGUAAGCCCAGCAUUUGAGAGAAGGUAGGGUGUGUAUAUAUAAAAGGUGUACAACUCCACGAGGUGAAAAAUAUUCAGUAACUUGUUUACAUAGCAUUUGUGUAAAGACUAUGAUCUCAUCCCAAUAAAAUGAUAUAUUAAAUCUUCAGAUUAAUGACUGGCUACAGAGUAACAAAAAAUAAAGAAUUUAAUGUACAGUAAAUUCUCUCCCAUA
rnacentral:sRNA from 1 species